rnacentral:tRNA from 1 species
GCCAUGAUGACUGAGUCAGGCUUAAGGUAUCCGCCUUGAGAGCGGACGUAUGAAAGUACCAGAGGUUCAAAUCCUCUUCAUGGCG